CACGGCCUAGCACAUGCAAGUCGAACGGUCAGUAGCAAUACUAAUAGUGGCGCACGGGUGCGUAACACGUAACUAACCUGCCCACAACUGGGGGAUAGCCCGCCGAAAGGCGGAUUAAUACCGCAUAAGGCUUGAGACUGGCAUCAGUUUUUAGUUAAAGAUUUAUUGGUUGUGGAUGGGGUUGCGGGUCAUUAGCUAGUUGGUAAGGUAACGGCUUACCAAGGCGACGAUGACUAGGGGAGCUGAGAGGCUGGUCCCCCACACGGGCACUGAGAUACGGGCCCGACUCCUACGGGAGGCAGCAGUAGGGAAUAUUGGGCAAUGGGCGAGAGCCUGACCCAGCCAUGCCGCGUGCAGGACGAAGGCUUUCUGAGUCGUAAACUGCUUUUGACAGGGAAGAAUAAGCUGAACGUGUUCAGUGAUGACGGUACCUGCAGAAUAAGCACCGGCUAACUCCGUGCCAGCAGCCGCGGUAAU
rnacentral:rRNA from 1 species